rnacentral:rRNA from 1 species
UUAAAAAGCUCGUAGUCGGAUUUUGGCUGAGAACGGUCGGUCCGCCGUUAGGUGUGCACUGACUGGUCUCAGCUUCCUGGUGAGGAGGUGUGCUUCAUCGCCACUUAGUCACCGUGGUUACUUUGAAAAAAUUUGAGUGUUCAAAGCGGGCUUACGCUUGAAUAUAUUAGCAUGGAAUAACACCAUAGGACUCCUGUCCUAUUUCGUUGGUCUCGGGACGGGAGUAAUGAUUAAGAGGAACAGUUGGGGGCAUUCGUAUUUCAUUGUCAGAGGUGAAAUUCUUGGAUUUAUGAAAGACGAACUUCUGCGAAAGCAUUUGCCAAGGAUGUUUUCAUUGAUCAAGAACGAAAGUUGGGGGCUCGAAGAUGAUUAGAUACCAUCCUAGUCUCAACCAUAAACGAUGCCGGCUAGGGAUUGGCGGAUGUUAAUUGAUGACUUCGCCAGCACCUUGUGAGAAAUCAAAGUUUUUGGGUUCCGGGGGGAGUAUGGUCGCAAGGCUGAAACUUAAAGGAAUUGACGGAAGGGCACCACCAGGCGUGGAGCCUGCGGCUUAAUUUGACUCAACACGGGGAAACUUACCAGGUCCAGACAUAGUAAGGAUUGACAGAUUGAGAGCUCUUUCUUGAUUCUAUGGGGUGGUGGUGCA